UACGUAGGGUGCGAGCGUUGUUCGGAAUUACUGGGCGUAAAGGGCGCGUAGGCGGCCCGCUAAGUCGAACGUGAAAUCCCCCGAGCUCAACUCGGGAACUGCGUCCGAUACUGGUGGGCUUGAAUCCGGGAGAGGGAUGCGGAAUUCCAGGUGUAGCGGUGAAAUGCGUAGAUAUCUGGAGGAACACCGGUGGCGAAGGCGGCAUCCUGGACCGGCAUUGACGCUGAGGCGCGAAAGCGUGGGGGAGCAAACAGG
rnacentral:rRNA from 1 species